UCCAUCCCUUCUCUUCCAAUUAUCCAAUCCAGGAUCGGACUGAAACCCAUCCCAGCUACCAUGGAAAGAGCAGGGGUGCACACUGGACAGGUGGCCAGUCUGUCACAGGGGUAACAAGAGAGACUGACAACCAUUCACACCUAGAAUCUCCAGGUAACAUAAACCCACUAAACGCCUGCAUUGGACUGUGGAAGGGAGGUAGAGAACCCAAAGAGAAUCCACACAGACAAAGCAAGAACAUGGAAACCCUACACAGAAAGUCUGCGCCAGGACCUUCUUGCUAUGAGGCAACAGUCCUAACCACCGUGCUGCCCUAAACGAAAAGAUAAGGAAGAAUUUUAAGAGAUGCCUGCCGCAGUUCAGAAAACGGAUGACUGUUCACAUUUUAGACGUGCACUAAAAUUAAAAGUCGUGCACAGUAGCUGUUCCACGGCCGCGUCAGAGUCAAAGGAAGAAGAAAUAAUCAGAGAGGAAAAUCGUUUCAAUCAUAGAGCAAUUGCAACAUUUAUUGAAGUGUUGGCUUUCUUGUAUUGAUUUUUCAACACAUUACAAAAAUACAUAUAUGUUCAAAACAGCAGAUGUGUACUGUUCUGAAAUCACUUAUUUUUUCACAAUGAUGCACCCCCCCUCCCCCCACCCCCACCCCAAAAAAAGAGAACAAGGAAACUAUUUUGUACAAAGAGUGUAAGUGAAAGUUGUGAAAAGUGAAAUAUGAAAAUGUAUUUAAAAUUACAUUUUAAUGUGCUAGCACAAGACCUUCAACCAACCAUGAGGAUAAACACCAAAAAAAAGAAGAAGAAGAAGAAGGAGUCCAUGAAUGUCUGAUAAAAUGAUUCGAUAAAAGUAUUCCUGCACAAAACCACUGUAUUCGUUUUUCUCAUUUUUGAAAAUCAUUUUAUUUUACACCCGUGGAGCAUAGCUUCACCAAAAAACAGCAAAUUCAUUAAAAAAAAGAAAGACAAGUGAAAAAAAUACUUAAAAAGAUGAAGAUACCAAAAGUCAAUAAUGGCACCACUGUAAGAAAAAAAAAGAUAACCUGGCAUGAUUCUGCAAUAUUACAUUAAAAAAUAAACAAAAAAAACAAAAAAUCUGUCCAUAGAGUGAACAAGCAAUCAUACAGAAAUAUAUUCAUGUAGAUAAAAUCCCUCCACCAGGAUAAUCAUACAAAAACUGCUAUGGCAUUCAAAUCAUUUGAGAAAACAUUGGAGGAAAACAAUAGUUUAUUAUCAUUUUUAAACACUUACACAGAGUAUUUCAUUAAUGGCAUACUUCAACACUGUAAACAUAUUGUAAGACUGAAUGUCCAUGUGUGUGUGUGUGUUUGGGACACUGUGAGGGCUCCACUCUUCCAGUUGCACGACUCACUUUGGCCUAAGUCUGAAACUGGGCUUUCGGGGGAACGUGUGCGUUCUCGACAGAACCUUGAUUCUUUUGCAGUCGUGCGUCAACACGUGUAAGCAAACUGAAAGUAGCUCUUCAGGCAGUCUCGCUUUUCAAGUCGAUUUGAUAAAAUAUGUCAAACUAGCAGGUAAGUGAAUAGCUUAUGAAGAGCUCGACAGCUUUUUCCUUUUCGAAAAUCAUUAAAAGAAAAAAAGAGCACUUUGAAUUCAAGGUACCGCGUAGUUCAGUUUCUUUUAAAAAACAAAAUAGCACAGAUAAAACCUGAAAAUAGGCCAAAAUGGGAGGUCAAAUCUUCAAGUGACAAUGCUUUUGAUGAUUGAGAUUUGCAGUAGUAAAAUGAAAGAUGUAUUCUCAAUCUCCUUUCAUGUGGCUUUGCUGUCUCCCUCCCCUCUCACGCUCACUCUGUCUCACUCUGAUGGUCUGUUAUAAGAUGUGGCGAGUAGAUGUGCAUUUGGUUACAGAAAAAAAAAUACACUUUUCAUAUGCUCCCAAUUUCAUUUGAAUGACUAUUCUCCCUGGUCAAGGUCUUGCUCUCUCUCCCUCCAUUUCUUUCUCUCACAUCUCCAUUUCUCAGUUCCAAUCUUUCAUUUUAUGCUCUGAGAAUAGCCCCCUACUCAAGGUCGGCCGGCCAUCCCUUAGUGCAGCUGUGCUCAAAA